GACGAACGCUGGCGGCGUGCCUAAUACAUGCAAGUCGAGCGAAUGGAUUAAGAGCUUGCUCUUAUGAAGUUAGCGGCGGACGGGUGAGUAACACGUGGGUAACCUGCCCAUAAGACUAGGAUAACUCCGGGAAACCGGGGCUAAUACCGGAUAACAUUUUGAACCGCAUGGUUCAAAAUUGAAAGGCGGCUUCGGCUGUCACUUAUGGAUGGACCCGCGUCGCAUUAGCUAGUUGGUGAGGUAACAGCUCACCAAGGCAACGAUGCGUAGCCGACCUGAGAGGGUGAUCGGCCACACUGGGACUGAGACACGGCCCAGACUCCUACGGGAGGCAGCAGUAGGGAAUCUUCCGCAAUGGACGAAAGUCUGACGGAGCAACGCCGCGUGAGUGAUGAAGGCUUUCGGGUCGUAAAACUCUGUUGUUAGGGAAGAACAAGUGCUAGUUGAAUAAGCUGGCACCUUGACGGUACCUAACCAGAAAGCCACGGCUAACUACGUGCCAGCCGCCGCAGUAA
rnacentral:rRNA from 1 species